CUACGUGCCAGCAGCCGCGGUAAUACGUAGGUCCCGAGCGUUGUCCGGAUUUAUUGGGCGUAAAGCGAGCGCAGGCGGUUAGAUAAGUCUGAAGUUAAAGGCUGUGGCUUAACCAUAGUACGCUUUGGAAACUGUUUAACUUGAGUGCAGAAGGGGAGAGUGGAAUUCCAUGUGUAGCGGUGAAAUGCGUAGAUAUAUGGAGGAACACCGGUGGCGAAAGCGGCUCUCUGGUCUGUAACUGACGCUGAGGCUCGAAAGCGUGGGGAGCAAACAGGAUUAGAUACCCUGGUAGUCCACGCCGUAAACGAUGAGUGCUAGGUGUUGGGUCCUUUCCGGGACUCAGUGCCGCAGCUAACGCAAUAAGUACCCCGCCUGGGGAGUACGACCGCAAGGUUGAAACUCAAAGGAAUUGACGGGGGCCCGCACAAGCGGUGGAGUAUGUGGUUUAAUUCGACGCAACGCGAAGAACCUUACCAGGUCUUGACAUUGAUGGACAGAACUAGAGAUAG
rnacentral:rRNA from 1 species